UAUCAGCUCACCUCAGUCAUCCCAGCCUUUCUCUUCCUGACCCCCAAUUUGUUUAAUUACCCCUAUUAAGCUUUAUAAAAACCGGUGCUGCUUUCAUCUCUCUGUCUUUUUCUCAGUGUUGUCUGAAUGCCAGCAUAGCUGCACAAGCUUUUUUUUUUGGGUGCCUAUUGUCUGGUCCUAUUGGCUUUCUCACUAAUUAGUGCUCAUGUUCUGAGGAUAACUCUUGCAUGUUGUGAACGAGUGAGAGAGGAUGGGUGGGAUUAGUUUAGGAAAACUCGAAGCUAAAUCUGAGGCCUGUCAGAUUACAAAGAGGAACAUAUGAAGACAGAGACACUAAACACAUGCCGUUUGCAAGAAAACGCAUCACAUUUUUAAAAUCUGUGCUUUUUAAAACCACAGAGGGUAUGCCUGUGGACGUGGAGAAGAUUAUCCAGUUUAUCAAACAAGGCGACCAGGAC